ACAGCACCCGUCAGCUCUGCGUUUCCAGGCCCCCUCUGACAGACCGUGUUUGAGCAGGUUAGUGUUCUCCGAGGCUCUCUCAGCUGUGUUUGACCUCAUUGUAACUGGAGCCCGUGCAUGGAGCCCACCCCCAAAACUCCCCAAAACACGGUCUACAUCCCAAAACACACCCCAUUCCCUAUAUAGUGCACUACACAGAGGCCUGGUCAUAAGUAGCACACUGUAUAUUUGGAGAUUGGAUGCCAUUUGGGACACAGCCCUAUUGAGGCCCGUCCCAGCAGGUCCCUGUAUCCCUCAAGACAUGGACAAACCUACGAACACGAUAAAACGUGAUCCCUUCUCUUCCCUGGAAGAGAAACAGAUGUUUUACGACUGUUAAAGAGAAAACGUCUCUCUCUUUGAAAAGACAUUUCACAACGUUUUGGCACCUUUUGAAACUAGGUUUAUAUGAGCCUGCUGGGGGAUGUCUGUGUAAUGUGACGCUGAACAUUUGCUUAUAGUUUGUUAUUGUAGUGUAAUAAUGGGUCAGAGACAGACAGUUGAAGUUAGGACCUGGAACAUAAUGUAAUACUGGGACGUCCAGAAGUAUUGGGACAGUGACACGUAUUCUGGUUUUAGCGCUGUAUUCCAGCACUUUGAAACGAUACAAUGACUACGAGACUAUGAGGUUAAAGUGCAAACAUCGAAUUCGACAGUUGUGCAACUCUUACCAUCACAAACAUUGAUAAAUGACUGUUGGGGUUAGCUGAUUACACACAUGGAUUUGAUUUGUGGGCUGUAACUCAGUCUCUGGCUGGAUAUCACUCCAGGUUGGGGGUUUGACUAGCCAGGCCUGAGUGGAUAUCACACCAGCCCCAGGUGGGGGUUUGACUAGCCAGGCCUGAGUGGAUAUCACACCAGCCCCAGGUGGGGGUUUGACUAGCCAGGCCUGAGUGGAUAUCACACCAGCCCCAGGUGGGGGUUUGACUAGCCAGGCCUGAGUGGAUAUCACACCAGCCCCAGGUGGGGGUUGACUAGCCAGGCCUGAGUGGAUAUCACACCAGCCCCAGGUGGGGGGUUGACUAGCCAGGCCUGAGUGGAUAUCACACCAGCCCCAGGUGGGGGGUUGACUAGCCAGGCCUGAGUGGAUAUCACACCAGCCCCAGGUGGGGGUUUGACUAGCCAGGCCUGAGUGGAUAUCACACCAGCCCCAGGUGGGGGGUUGACUAGCCAGGCCUGAGUGGAUAUCACUCCAGCCCCAGGUGGGGGUUUGACUAGCCAGGCCUGAGAGGAUAUCACACCAGCCCAGGUGGGGGUUUGACUAGCCAGGCCUGAGUGGAUAUCACACCAGCCCCAGGUGGGGGUUUGACUAGCCAGGCCUGAGAGGAUAUCACACCAGCCCCAGGUGGGGGUUUGACUCGCCAGGCCUGAGAGGAUAUCACACCAGCCCCAGGUGGGGGUUUGACUAGCCAGGCCUGAGAGGAUAUCACACCAGCCCCA